GAUUACGAUAUUACCUUACAACGUCAGGUAUGUUGUCUUAAGCUUCAUUUGCACGGUACUUUAGCAAAUGUAAUAAAAAAAUUAUUUCUCAACUUAUAACCAUCCUGCACAAGCAAUAUAUAUUAUAUGUCAAACAUAAAGCUUUGGAAGGAUAAAGCACAUCAAAUUUAGAUACAUUAUUAAAACUAAGCAUGUUAGGAAGGCUCUCAGGCCAUCAGCAAUUUUGGUCGUUAGAUCACACGUCUGAAUCAUUUUUGGCCGUCUGAUGGACCUCUUCCUCCCACGUGGGCCGCUACUCCAGAAACAAAUUUCGAGGCCUCUCGUUUGAUCCCAAAUGGACGAUCGUGAUGUUGACGCCGCACAGGCUCCUCCCCGAUCUCUUGACCUAGGAUGAAACCUAUGCGCCGCCACUAUUGCCGUCGCCGCUGCCGAGAGAGAGAGAGAGAGAGAGAGAGAGAGACGAGGGUGACUGAUGGCAACGGCGGCGAUGGGCAAACGAGGUCGCGCCAGGCCGGCGAUUUCAUCCGUAAGUGCACCUGCGCUGCCGACGAUGACGGCUCAACCAAGGUCCUCUUGAUGGAUCCCCGCGCCAGGGUCUUCGUCGCGCUGAUGGCGGUAGGGCAGCCGUCAGCCGCCAUGGUAUGGAAGUAUCUCUUCGUUUUGCUGGGCAACCUCAACCUGGUUGCCUCCUUCUCCUUCUUUCUUUUUCAUCGGACUAAUUUCUAUGUUUCUUGGUGGGACGACGAGGUUGCCAAAUCCGUAGCACUCACCACAUCACGGCGGCGGCUACCUGCAUCACCUCGCCGUUCAUUGUUAUGGAAGCGUGAUGCGAUGAGCUUUUCCUAGCGGCUUACAGGUGAAGCCAGGGGAGGAAGGGAGGAAUGCAUUGUCAUAUGCUCGAUCUUGACAUCUUGUAUUGACAGUUUGACACAGUGCUGGGCGACAGUCGGAAGCCUACUUGAAUCCAAAACUUUUGAGGAGCCGAGGAGUACAUCAUGGACUCACUACAGCAGAUGCCAUUAACCUCCGUAGUCCAUAGGUGUAACUGAUGUUCAUAUCAAUCUACCAUACAAAUCAUGUUACAGGUAAAAAUGUGUUGGCUCAAGAGCCAUUAGAGUUAUUCACUUCUUAGUAUUUGGACAAUUGAAUUAAGGAAUAUAUGAGACGUUUGAAUUAAGAAAUGGAGGAUCUGAUUACCUUGCAAAAGGCACUCUCAAGAUUAGUUUCACUAACCGUCUUUUUGUUGAGAGUGAAGGUAUACUAUCCAAAGAUGCUUUUCUUUAGAAAAGGAGGACCCCCGGCCUCUGCAUCUGGGCGAUGCAUACGGCCACUUUAUUAAUUAUUCUCAGAAGACCUUACAAAGUAAUACAACAGUAAGACUAAAGCCACCGUCUGAGCAACAACUGUCGCUACUCCUAUCCAAAUGACGAAGGAGCGCUGAUAGUCUGGGCCUAAUACCAAACAGACAUCGCAGCUAAACCUAAACAUCUAAGACCUGAGGUCCCAACCAGGACGCCUGCCGGGUAUGGGGCACCUACCAGUCCGGCGCACUCCUCAACCAGGACGCAUGUCGGGUAUGAGGCCGCCGCAGCCACCUGCCACCAAUCCAUCUUCAGUGUUGUACUGCUGCACCACCUUGCCCGGCCUCUCUGCUAUAGACGCCACCACGACGCCUGAUAACGUCACCCUCCUGCGCGAGUCCCUCGCCACACAUCGGGCGCCGAGUCUCCACUGCGCCACGUCGCCGAGAAACCGCUCCACCAAUUAUUCCGUCCACUAGUCCCUCGAGCCCGUGUACACCUGCAAGAAUGACGCCACAAGAGGGAAACGACACAAUAAUGCCGCAGCCAUCCGAUCUACUAAUCUAGGGUUUCCCCCGAAGGUAGCAUAUAGUGGCCUGGAACUUCUCAACAGCGAUGCCUUCAAUAAGGGAACGACACCGAAUAGUGCCGCCAUCGCCGCCCUCGGCAGCAGCCACGAGCAGGUCUUCACCCAGAUCUGUUCCAAUGGCCUCCAUCAAGCGUCUUGUGCACGGAUCGUCCACCACCGCGGCCGCCGCGUCGCCUGUCACGAGUCCAUAGCCGCCGACACAUCCUCCGCCGUCCGGGGCCGCCGCCCCGGGAUCCAGCCCUCGCUGGCCGCCGGAACGAAGCCACCGAGCCCCAUCGAGGGCGGCCAACGGGGGCGGAGAAGCUAGAUCCGGCCAAGCCCGGCCAGGAUCCGGCCUCUCCCCGCGCUGAAGCCACUCCCGCGGCCCUGCAUCUCGCCCGCGCCCGAGGCGACGCAGGUAGUGCAUGCGCGCGCAACACCGCAGAGAGGGGAAACGCCCUGCCGCCACCUUCCUUGGGGCGCACACGGACUUCGCCUGCGGCCCCUCCUGCGGCGGCGAAGCGAGGGAGGGGGCGAGGGGGAUUUGGCGGCGGCGGCGCUAGGGUUGCCCCGUGUCGCCCGGGGGCGAUCCAAAGAUGCUUUAAAGCUUAGUUCAUUAAACAUCUUUUUAUUCGGAAUGAAGGUUUACUACAGUUAUAAUAACUCGCUCCUUGGUUAUGCAUUCCAAUUUAAUAUAGUAUAGUUCAGCUGAAAAAUGUUAAUGCAAAGUAACCUGCAUGCUAAAAAUAUCUUGGUCUUCCUUGAAUAUUACCUUGGGGUGCCUUGGGUAUCCCCAAGCUUAGGGUUUUGUCACUCCUUAUUCUCCUCAUAUCGAUAUGUUCUAUGAAUCCUACUUCUGCCAUUGCCGAUUCAUGCAACCCCGGACUCCUUCACUACGAGUGACCAACACUAUGGUAAAUAACAUAAGUUGACAAGCUCCAAGUAGACAAUCCUGAUUAUAUAGUUACCAUGGGGAGAACUCUCCUUCCAAUUUAGAAAAAAAAAACAUUGUGCAUUCUGCUUUUUUAUGAAACAUGAGUAGUUGCUACUUGCUCGUGUAAAAUAGACAUUUAAUUUGUAGUAUGAUUCACUCUACAAAAAACAUUUUAGCAUGCAUGUUACUUUGCUAAGAAAAUUAGCCCAUCAUUUUAAAUCAAAUUCCUAGAGCAAAAGAUUGAGCCUUUGGUGACUAUUAGUUUGAAUUUGAGAAUGUAUAUACAUCUAGAUGGAUGCAAGUUUUUUGAAUCAUGUAACACUCUGUUCAACUAUCUCUUCUAACUAUGAUAUAGUUUUUUUAAUCUCCAUUGACAUACUCUAUCGACGAGUUUUCAGUGCGAUGUUACUUUUGUGCCAUGGAUAAAAAAUAACUUUGAUUGUAAUGCCCACUUCUUUGUGCUCCCCGGCUUGGUAGUUUUGUUUCAGUACAGCACUGAUAAUUAUUAUAGAAAUUAUUUUUACUGAUUAGAUGAUAGGACAUGUACAGUGUGAGGCCUGAAUCUGUUUGGUGAUGGGAGAUGCUCCAUGAAGUUUUGCCUUUGGUAUUUGCACCUUCUACUAUGUAACAUUCUUCAAUAGAUAUUGGUUUACAUUCAUUUUCUUCUGAGCGAGUUUAAUUCUCUUUUGCAUACCCUUGUAUCAUCUGCUAUCCAUUUAUUGCAAAUUUCAUGAAUUAAGUCUGCUCAUAUUAGCAGACUAAAGUUGUUGUUUUGUGUUAUUAAUGACAAUGAUAUGCCUGGAACUUACAAUAGAAGGGGUGGGCUUUCCAGAUGAGAAAACAUUAUAUAACACUUUUACCUUA